ACUAGCAGUAAGAGUUUGAUCCUGGCUCAGGACGAACGCUAGCGGCGUGCCUAAGGUAUGCAAGUCAACGGGGGCUUCGGCCCUAGUGGCGAACGGUCGAGUAACACGUAGACAACCUGCCUUUCAGUGGGGGAUAACAGCGGGAAACUGCUGCUAAUACCGCAUGUGGCGGCCUGGAGCAUUCCGGGUUGGCUAAAGGAGCAAUUCGCUGAAAGAUGGGUCUGCGGCCUAUCAGCUUGUUGGUGAGGUAACGGCUCACCAAGGCGACGACGGGUAGCGGGUCUGAGAGGAUGAUCCGCCGGACGGGGACUGAGACACGGCCCCGACUCCUUCGGGAGGCAGCAAUGAGGAAUAUUGCGCAAUGGGGGAAACCCUGACGCAGCGACGCCGCGUGGGGGAGGAAGGGCUUCGGCUCGUAAACCCCUGUUGCCCGGGACGAACAUCCGCUUUCGAGCGGACUGACGGUACCGGGUGAGGAAGCACCGGCUAACUCCGUGCCAGCCGCCGCGGUAAUAC
rnacentral:rRNA from 1 species